rnacentral:rRNA from 1 species
UAACUGAAGAGUUUGAUCAUGGCUCAGAUUGAACGCUGGCGGCAGGCUUAACACAUGCAAGUCGAGCGGGGGAAGGUAGCUUGCUACUGGACCUAGCGGCGGACGGGUGAGUAAUGCUUAGGAAUCUGCCUAUUAGUGGGGGACAACAUCUCGAAAGGGAUGCUAAUACCGCAUACGUCCUACGGGAGAAAGCAGGGGAUCUUCGGACCUUGCGCUAAUAGAUGAGCCUAAGUCGGAUUAGCUAGUUGGUGGGGUAAAGGCCU